rnacentral:rRNA from 1 species
AGGGUUCGAUUCUGGCUCAGGAUGAACGCUGGCGGCGUGCUUAACACAUGCAAGUCGAACGGGAUCCAUCAGGCUUUGCUUGGUGGUGAGAGUGGCGAACGGGUGAGUAAUGCGUGACCGACCUGCCCCAUACACCGGAAUAGCUCCUGGAAACGGGUGGUAAUGCCGGAUGCUCCGACUCCUCGCAUGGGGUGUCGGGAAAGAUUUCAUCGGUAUGGGAUGGGGUCGCGUCCUAUCAGGUAGUCGGCGGGGUAACGGCCCACCGAGCCUACGACGGGUAGCCGGCCUGAGAGGGCGACCGGCCACAUUGGGACUGAGAUACGGCCCAGACUCCUACGGGAGGCAGCAGUGGGGAAUAUUGGGCAAUGGGCGCAAGCCUGACCCAGCAACGCCGCGUGAAGGAAGAAGGCUUUCGGGUUGUAAACUUCUUUUAAGUGGGAAGAGUAGAAGACGGUACCACUUGAAUAAGCCACGGCUAACUACGUGCCAGCAGCCGCGGUAAUACGUAGGUGGCAAGCGUUGUCCGGAAUUAUUGGGCGUAAAGCGCGCGCAGGCGGAUCAGUCAGUCUGUCUUAAAAGUUCGGGGCUUAACCCCGUGAUGGGAUGGAAACUGCUGAUCUAGAGUAUCGGAGAGGAAAGUGGAAUUCCUAGUGUAGCGGUGAAAUGCGUAGAUAUUAGGAAGAACACCAGUGGCGAAGGCGACUUUCUGGACGAAAACUGACGCUGAGGCGCGAAAGCCAGGGGAGCGAACGGGAUUAGAUACCCCGGUAGUCCUGGCCGUAAACGAUGGGUACUAGGUGUAGGAGGUAUCGACCCCUUCUGUGCCGGAGUUAACGCAAUAAGUACCCCGCCUGGGGAGUACGACCGCAAGGUUGAAACUCAAAGGAAUUGACGGGGGCCCGCAC